rnacentral:rRNA from 1 species
GAUGAACGCUGGCGGCGUGCCUAANACAUGCAAGUCGAACGGAAUUUACAUGAAGCCUAGCGAUUGUAAAUUUAGUGGCGGACGGGUGAGUAACGCGUGGGUAACCUGCCCCAUGCCGGGGGAUAACAGCUGGAAACGGCUGCUAAUACCGCAUAAGCGCACGGUAUCGCAUGAUGCAGUGUGAAAAACUCCGGUGGUAUGGGAUGGACCCGCGUCUGAUUAGCCAGUUGGCAGGGUAACGGCCUACCAAAGCGACGAUCAGUAGCCGACCUGAGAGGGUGACCGGCCACAUUGGGACUGAGACACGGCCCAAACUCCUACGGGAGGCAGCAGUGGGGAAUAUUGGGCAAUGGGCGAAAGCCUGACCCAGCAACGCCGCGUGAAGGAAGAAGGUCUUCGGAUUGUAAACUUCUUUUAUCAGGGACGAAGAUAGUGACGGUACCUGAUGAAUAAGCCACGGCUAACUACGUG